GACGUAGGAUGCAAGCGUUGUCCGGAAUUAUUGGGCGUAAAGCGUUCGUAGGCGGCCUGCCAAGUCUGAUGUUAAAUCCCGGGGCUCAACCCCGGACAAGCAUUGGAUACUGGGAAGCUAGAGUACGGUAGAGGUAAGGGGAAUUCCUAGUGUAGCGGUGAAAUGCGUAGAUAUUAGGAGUAACACCGGUGGCGAAAGCGCCUUACUGGACCGAAACUGACGCUGAGGGACGAAAGCCAGGGGAGGAAAUGGG
rnacentral:rRNA from 1 species